CGCCCAUAUUGUGACUGGCUUGUAGGCGUAUGAAGGUCUGGUUAUGAAAUGGGUACAUAGUUAAGUUAAAUAGUAAUUAUCCUCUAAAACGCUCUGGGGACAAACAAACUUAACUGCCCUGUUUCCAAUUGUCCACAUGACUGGGAGAACCUGUUCAAGCGUGUGUCUGGCAGCAGCAUAGUGGUCUAAACUCUGCAGACAGCCACCCACAUCCCUACAAACAUCAUCCAGAAAGCACUGCUGGCUGUGGGCCCUGGGGUGGCAGCCCUGCAGGACCCCUACAGACACGACAUGGUGGUCCGUUCUCGGCGAGACUACAGGACACCUGGCCCUCAUUACGCUCUGGGACAGAACAAGAGGAGACCCUGAGGGCCAUACCAUUCUAAUGUUUCAUCUAUUGGUGUGUUAGAGAGCGCCCAUGGAUUAGGAUAUCCACGUUGGAUCUGUCCAAGAUGGACUUUCUUCCAGAUGGAUCCUCAGGGAGAGAGUACUUGCGCUUCCUUGAGGACAAUAGGGUGACCACUGACUCAAGGGCAGAUGUGAAGUUUGUGGAUAAUGAAGAGUUGGCGUAUGUUAUGCAGAGAUACAGAGAGGUCCACGAUUUACUGCACAGCUUACUAGGCUUGCCCACUAACAUGCUAGAUGUCUGGAAUCCCUGGUGACGUCCCUGGGGACGUGGGCUGUGAGGAAUGGCCAACAGGCUCGCUGUGUCCUGCUGGGAGCAGUCUGUAGGACCUAAGACUGGAACUGAACAUCGAGCCUCCCCUGCUGACCGUCACAGCUUCCAGCCAGAGACCACAUCAGACUCAUAGCACUGACCUCUUGAUGUCACACUGUGUCUGGUCACACUGUGCAACCAGAUGGUAGAGGAUGCAGGAACUCUUUGGAGUGAUGUAAUGUUGGAAUUUUGUUUCAUUUCCCCUUGACAAUGGUUAAGUACAUUAUGACCUGACAUUGAGUAGAAGGGACAUUUUUGGAACAAAACCUUGUUGAGGGUCUUGUAUUACCCACUGCCAUUCUUCAAGCGACAAGUCAUUACCUAGGUUGGACAAACCAAGGACAUGCAAGAGCCUGUUGCUGCUGGUUACACCAGUGGUGGCUUAGUCAUGUCUGGUAUCAUUCAGAUGCUGAGACUGGUUCUAUCUGACAUUUCCUUCUCUUAUAACUCAAGGUACAUCACCCACCUGGUACUGUAAUGACUGUCAAUCAUUGACUGUUUUAUUUGACAAUGUGUGUGUUCAUGACAAGCACAGCACUGUUCAUGCAUCUCUGGUGUGAGAUGUAACGUAUCAAUAAAUUGUUUGCACUUUGUUGAAACCUUUUUUCGAUAAUGCUGGGUUUAGUACAGUACUGUAUUAUCCAAAUUACUACUAGUCUAACUUGUUGCUCAGUCAGCUGGAGCUGAAGUUUGCUUGGAUGUUUUUUUCCAGUUUGUUUGAAGUCGGAACUGACAAUGUCAACAGCAAUGUGUCACUAAGAUGGGAGCAUUCUGUGAAGCCCUUUAAGUUUUCCAAACUACUUCUCACUUAUACAGAACUAUCUUUGAUAACCAUUAUGGGGAGUUUUCUGUAUUUUCUUCUUUCUCUAGGAAGGCAGGUUUUUCUUAUCCACAAAGAAACAUCCAUUAAUAGUACCUCAUACCAUGUGGUUGAUACAGUAAAAGUCUAUUUAAGAAUU